GAUGAACGCUGGCGGCGUGCCUAACACAUGCAAGUCGAGCGAUCUUCUUCGGAAGAGAGCGGCGGACGGGUGAGUAACGCGUGGGUAACCUGCCUCAUACACAUGGAUCACAUACCGAAAGGGAUGCUAAUACAAGAUGAUAUAAGAGAUUCGCAUGGAUUUCUUAUCAAAGCUCCGGCGGUAUGAGAUGGACCCGCGUCUGAUUAGCUAGUUGGUAAGGUAACGGCUUACCAAGGCGACGAUCAGUAGCCGACCUGAGAGGGUGAUCGGCCACAUUGGAACUGAGACACGGUCCAAACUCCUACGGGAGGCAGCAGUGGGGAAUAUUGCACAAUGGGCGAAAGCCUGAUGCAGCAACGCCGCGUGAGCGAUGAAGGCCUUCGGGUCGUAAAGCUCUGUCCUCAAGGAAGAUAAUGACGGUACUUGAGGAGGAAGCCCCGGCUAACUACGUGCCAGCCGCCGCAGUAAUAC
rnacentral:rRNA from 1 species